rnacentral:rRNA from 1 species
UACGAAGGGGGCUAGCGUUGCUCGGAAUCAUGCGUGGGCGUAAAGGGCGCGUAAGGCGGACUUUUAAGUCGGGGGAUGAAAGCCCAGGGCUCAACCCCUGGAAUUGCCUUCGAUACUGGGGAGUCUUGAGGUUCGGAAGAGGUUGGUGGAACUGCGAGUGUAGAGGUGAAAUUCGUAGAUAAUUCGCAAGAACACCGGUGGCGAAGGCGGCCAACUGGUCCGAUACUGACGCUGAGGCGCGAAAGCGUGGGGAGCAAACAGG